rnacentral:rRNA from 1 species
AUUGAACGCUGGCGGCAUGCCUUACACAUGCAAGUCGAACGGCAGCGCGGGAGCAAUCCUGGCGGCGAGUGGCGAACGGGUGAGUAACAUAUCGGAACGUGCCCAGGAGUGGGGGAUAGCCCGGCGAAAGCCGGAUUAAUACCGCAUACGCCCUAUGGGGGAAAGUGGGGGACCGCAAGGCCUCACGCUCGUGGAGCGGCCGAUAUCUGAUUAGCUAGUUGGUGGGGAAGAGCCUACCAAGGCGACGAUCAGUAGCUGGUCUGAGAGGACGACCAGCCACACUGGGACUGAGACACGGCCCAGACUCCUACGGGAGGCAGCAGUGGGGAAUUUGGACAAUGGGGGCAACCCUGAUCCAGCAAUGCCGCGUGUGUGAAGAAGG